rnacentral:snoRNA from 1 species
UUCAUGAUGAUACAACAUCCAUAGCAUAGUUCAACAGAAUAAUCGUGUUGAUAAAACUCGCAUCAUCUUUCGCUCCUAUCUGA